rnacentral:ncRNA from 1 species
GAGAGCCCGGUGCAUUGAGAGAUGCACGCCGGGUUCGGGAAGCGGCCCGGAGAAACGGAACAGCCGCAAGAGUGUCAGCGCGCUCUGGGCCGACUUUCAC